CAUUUUAAAGUCGCUCAGCAAGCUAUGGAAGGGGAUAGCUAUGUUAGGAGUUACUCUGAAGGAUAAGAUUCAAA